UUCCCAUGUGUGAUGAUCAACAGGGAUCCUCCAACGCCUCACUCCUCCAGAACCGACUGGCUGUGGUGUGAACCAACAUCAACUCCUACAACCUGCCUCCGCCCUGUAGGGGCAGGGCAGCUAAACAUUAACAGGUUUGUGUAGGUCAGAGAAAAACAAUAAAAUCCGAAAAAAUAAAACAACUCAAAGAAUCCUAGAAGUCUGAAACAUCGGAAACCCUGAAGGCACCAUUCAACUAUUUAAGGCAGGCAGAGAGGACAAGCACAGACACGGCAGGUAUUCGAUUUAGAAAAAGCAGCCAGGAACGCUCAUCUGUUUAAACAGGAACUAUGUUGAUACAGAGCAGGCUAUGCUGCUCGGUGGCUGUGCUGCUCAACCAGCUCUGCAGGUUCUCUGGCUGAAAUGACGUCAUAUUGUUAAAUCCUUCCGGUGAGCUGUCCGGGCCCAACUUGUCUCUGCUCUGUCUGCUGAGAGGCCUCAGCAGGCCUGCGGCCCUUAGGAGGGCUGAGCAGCCAAUGUCACAGUCGGUGAAGGGACACGACUGCAGCCGGCUUUCUCACCUCACAGACUCUGGAGCAGGAGCUGCAGGUUGAAGCUGAUUAGAUAACGUCCUGAGGGCCUCUCGUCUCUGACUGGACAUUGUCAUUUACUCUGCACCUUUAUGCUUCACAUUGCACCACAGGCUGAUGUUAACAGUGUGCAGUGAUGACUAAUCAAAGGUAGAUUGUUCAUUAUAAAACAGGAGCCUCCAUUCAAUUAUGUGCUAUUAUGUUGAGACGCUUGUAAGUAAUUACAUAAGAUGAUGUUCUGUGUCAUUGUCCUGGAUCAAAAGCUGUUGGUUGGAAAUAAGUGUCAUGUAUGAGAGGGGCUCAACUUAACUAAGUGAGCUGCGUAAUGAGGCACCCAUGAGCCCAACGUCAGCUUCUGCCUUCUUACACACACCUGGAAACAAAGGAUGUCAAAGGGCCUGUUGCUUUCAGUCUCAACUUGCUACUGAAAAAAUGUAAGACACUAUACUUUAAAACACCUGAGGGGAAAUGCCUCAUGUAACAUCCUGCCACUGAUGACACACGACCUGCUGCUGUGUUCAGGCAUCCAGUGUUUGAGUAGGCGCCUGCUUCCCCAUGAGAGAGACCACUUCAAAGGCUCCGUUUUAUCAAUGUUUUUGAUGAAUAAAAGCUCAAACCACAUGCAUUUGUACAACAGUUCUAGUUUGCCCUUUGUCCAGCGCCAGAUGGGGUUUGGCUUUCAGCCAAUUUCAGCUUGAUGCUGCUUCUCCUCUGGCAGAACAUGAAUGGGGUCAUGUUUCUUUUUUGUUUUUUUGGCUUUUCUGGUGCUAAACACCUGAAACACUAGAAGUAGGUGGAGUUGCAUGUGACAGAGAAGAUGAACAACAAAAGCUUGAUAUGUACACUCAGCGAGAACAUUAAUAACCAAACAACUGAAAUGAUAUCAAAGACACUUUUAAACAUAACUUAGGAACAGUUGGCAUAAUGAAGGGCUUUCAUUUCAAUGAGCCAAUAAAUAAUUGUAAUCAUUUUUACUCCGGUUGUGGUUUUUCCUAUUUUGAUGCAAUUUUAAGACAGUUAAUCAAAAACAAUGGUCAGAUCAGAGCAAGAGGCCACUUUAGUUACGCUGGAUGGGCCUGUGCAUUUAGCCGUGGCUAAUGUUUAGCUGGAUUCAUUGUGUCUGGGAGCCAACCCUGCAUUUAGUCCUCAUAUGUAACCGUUUCACUAUGAAAGCAGCCGGUGUUACAGACUGGACGACCUCACAACAGGCUGCUGUCAGAGCUUUUAAAAAUGGUUUUAACGCUGAGGAACCCUGAGCCAAUACUGUACUCAGCAGCAGAGGCAGCUUGGUACAAUCAGCCAUGCGUCAGCAUAGAUCUACAAUAGACAGAAGUGUUCAGCAGCACACCAUUUAUCACAGGUUUAAAAAGAUUGGUUUUAAUAGUGCAGUUUAUGAAAGCGGACAGGUUGAUAAAGGGACGUUAUUAUCAAAGCCUUCAAAGCUUUGUUUUAGAGUUGUAAUGUUUUAAUAAAAUUUAAAAAACAAAGAAAUUACACAGAUACAA